rnacentral:rRNA from 1 species
CACCGCCCGUCACACCAUGGGAGUCAGUUGCUCCAGAAACGGCUGCGCUAACCCGCAAGGGAGGCAGGUCUUUAAGGAGUGGCUGGUAACUGGAGUG